UUCGGCGAGAACUCCUGGAACUUGAUGGUGAAGCGGCGCUCCCGCGUUGGCUCGUCGCACGUCAGCACGAUGUUGGGCGCGCCCAUCACCUCGCAGCGGUCCGCCUGCUCCCGCGACGACACGAGAAGUGAGAAUUGAGGCAUGUCCAUGGAGGUAGAAACACAGGCAGACAACCAUCUGAGCAGAGCUGCCGAACAAAGAACAACGCUGUCAGAGCCAGAUCUCAGGAGAUGCUGCUUCUGUUUUCAACAAAUCCACAUGAACACUUGGGAAUCACAGAAACAUGGAAAAAAAUAAAA